rnacentral:rRNA from 1 species
GACGUAGGGCGCGAGCGUUGUCCGGAUUUAUUGGGCGUAAAGAGCUCGUAGGCGGCUUGUCGCGUCGACUGUGAAAUCCCGCGGCUCAACUGCGGGUCUGCAGUCGAUACGGGCAGGCUAGAGUUCGGUAGGGGAGACUGGAAUUCCUGGUGUAGCGGUGAAAUGCGCAGAUAUCAGGAGGAACACCGGUGGCGAAGGCAGGUCUCUGGGCAUUAACUGACGCUGAGGAGCGAAAGCAUGGGGAGCGAACAGG